rnacentral:rRNA from 1 species
AUUGAACGCUGGCGGCAGGCCUAACACAUGCAAGUCGAGCGGAUGAGGAAAGCUUGCUUUUCGAUUCAGCGGCGGACGGGUGAGUAAUGCCUAGGAAUCUGCCUGUUAGUGGGGGAUAACUCGGGGAAACUCGGGCUAAUACCGCAUACGUCCUACGGGAGAAAGUGGGGGAUCUUCGGACCUCACGCUAACAGAUGAGCCUAGGUCGGAUUAGCUAGUAGGUGAGGUAAUGGCUCACCUAGGCGACGAUCCGUAACUGGUCUGAGAGGAUGAUCAGUCACACUGGAACUGAGACACGGUCCAGACUCCUACGGGAGGCAGCAGUGGGGAAUAUUGGACAAUGGGCGAAAGCCUGAUCCAGCCAUGCCGCGUGUGUGAAGAAGGUCUUCGGAUUGUAAAGCACUUUAAGUUGGGAGGAAGGGUAGUAAGUUAAUACCUCGCUGUUUUGACGUUACCGACAGAAUAAGCACCGGCUAACUUCGUGCCAGCAGCCGCAGUAACAC